AUUGAUCGCUGGCGGCAUGCUUUACACAUGCAAGUCGAACGGUAACAGGCCGAAAGGUGCUGACGAGUGGCGAACGGGUGAGUAAUGCAUCGGAACGUGCCCAGUCGUGGGGGAUAACGCAGCGAAAGCUGCGCUAAUACCGCAUACGAUCUAUGGAUGAAAGCGGGGGACCGUAAGGCCUCGCGCGAUUGGAGCGGCCGAUGUCAGAUUAGGUAGUUGGUGGGGUAAAGGCUCACCAAGCCAACGAUCUGUAGCUGGUCUGAGAGGACGACCAGCCACACUGGGACUGAGACACGGCCCAGACUCCUACGGGAGGCAGCAGUGGGGAAUUUUGGACAAUGGGCGCAAGCCUGAUCCAGCAAUGCCGCGGGCAGGAAGAAGGCCUUCGGGUUGUAAACUGCUUUUGUACGGAACGAAACGGCUCUGGUUAAUACCUGGGGCUAAUGACGGUACCGUAAGAAUAAGCACCGGCUAACUACGUGCCAGCAGCCGCCGUAACAC
rnacentral:rRNA from 1 species